rnacentral:rRNA from 1 species
GUCCUACGGGGCGCAGCAGUGGGGGAUAUUACACAAUGGGGGAAACCCUGAUGCAGCGACGCCGCGUGUGGGAAGACGGUCCUCUGGAUUGUAAACCACUGUCCCCAGGGACGAAAAUGACGGUACCUGGGGAGGAAGCUCCGGCUAACUACGUGCCAGCAGCCGCGGUAAUACGUAGGGAGCGAGCGUUGUCCGGAAUUACUGGGUGUAAAGGGAGCGUAGGCGGGGAUGCAAGUUGGGGGUCGAAACUACCGGCUCAACUGGUAGUCGCACUAAAAACUGCCGCUCUUGAGUGCAGUAGAGGC